ensembl:lncRNA
AUCGGAAAUUACAAGCAUUACACGUCGGCGAGAAAAUUGUUAUGACGUCAUUUUGCUGAGUGUGGAAACUAGAUGCGACGACAGGUUUCACUAUCAGCAAAGAACGGAUGAAUGGAUGAAAGACUGGGAAUAAAAACAAACGGACUGACUGAACACGCCCUUGGCGAGGUGGGGGGAACUGGACCACCUUUCUGUGCCCCAUCAUCCUCUAUUAGACGACAUCCAAGCUAAGUAAACAUGUCUUGGCCCUUUCCCCCUGAAAUGACAGGCAGGCAAAGAUGUUGCGUAUUUGUUUGCUUCCUGGCCCUGGGUCUCAUUCCCAUUGGCAUAAUCCUGAUCUGUGAAGGGCCCCCGACACUUAUGACACCUUCAAGUUCAAAAGCUUCGCCCCCUUCUGACAGUCCCAAUCUGACAAAUGUAGCCCCUAGGGUCUUGCCCACCACUUCCUCUCCAGUUUUACCAUAUUCACUUUUGAAUGUCCUUAGCAGUUACCGUUCUGAGUUUAUUUUACGGUUGAUUUAUUCUUUCACAUUUUCACGUUUAUAUCUCUCAUUAUUAUAGUAUACUCUGUACUCUCCACAUUUUUAUCAUUACUUAUGCUUUUUGGUUGCUGAGUUACAGGAACUGUUAAUUUUGUGUCACUACCCUGGUUGCACUAACUCGUUGUACCCUUGUGUGCAGGACAGCUGGUACUGCUUUCAUCGGGAACCGAGACUGCUUGCAGCCGACCCCUGGGCAGGGUGGUGCCUGGACUCUUUUCUCCUCAUCUGCAAUGACAGAUAAAGACAAAUGAAAAGACCCGAGGAGUUUUUCGAGCCAGGCUUCGACACGUCUCUGUGUUCCUUUGAUUGUUACUUAUUUUUGUGUGUUGACCCAUUUAAGAUGGGUCAAAAGGGGGAUUUGAAGAAAAUAUUGUUCAGCUUUAAACAUUAUUCAGCUUUAAAUAUUGUUCAGCUUUAAACAUUAUUCAGCUUUAAAUAUUGUUCAGCUUUAAACAUUAUUCAGCUUUAAAUAUUGUUCAGCUUUAAACAUUAUUCAGCUUUAAAUAUUGUUCAGCUUUAAAGUUACUGUGCAACUGUGUAAUAAAAAUGUGCUCACGACUUUGGCCUUGAGAGCGAUAAGAAGCGAUCGCCUCAUCCUGCAGGUGAAAGAUAUCUGCAAGCGAAGAGACUAGAACACCCAAGGCCGAUUUCCUUUUAUGGAGUUGUUUUUCUGCUAAUGCAGCACUUUCCUCACAACCCCCUCCUGUAAGUUUUAGAGAAUAUAUACCCAUCCUCACAGCAAAUAUUUGGAAUCUCUUGAUGUGAGCUGCGUUGAGAGUUUGUCUCUGUCUCAAUAAAAGUUCACUGAUUCCCCAUCUGCAGCAGGUGUCCGGUUGUCUUCAUUCUCCGCCAGCCUGGUUAAGUCAAUUCCUC